UGUCCCCGUGCCGGUUUGUUCCCAGCAUGAGGCGUUAUCGGGCCCUGCUCCACACUGUUAUUAGGAACGGAUGAAGCACACGGCCGGUCGGCCGCUCCUCCCAUGACCGCAGGUCCCGAGGUUCGGUUCCCUGGUCCGCAGCCUGAGCGCCAACCUAGGCCCCUCGCCGGUGGCGGGGGGGUGCGCUCAUUGCCUGGCCUCCCCUUUUCCGCUGCAGCAGCGCGCGCCGCUCCUAUCCCGCGGCAGCCCAGCAGGUGGCGCUCGCCUCCCCCGCCCCCGUCUCCACCGCAGACAGCCGUGACGUCAGCUGCUCGACGCCAUUUGAAUGACUCUCGCAACGGAGAAACCGGACUUGUGUGGCUCGCAGCAUAACUAUUUGGCGUUGCUUCUUCAGUGGCUGUGGCUCGGCCCCUGGCUCGGCAACCUCCAUGUGUCGCAGGCUGGAUGGAGGAACGGUGAGAACAGGCAGGAGGUGGGAAAACAGCAUCAGAGGGUUCCUGCCUGCUGCCAUGCCCUGCCGCCCCCAUCUGCCCCCCGUCCGGCACAGGGGUUGAUGCUUGGUAAGUGCAUAGAUGAUACUAGCAACAGCAUCAUCAUCAUGCUACUCACAACAAGUAAAUGUACUGAGUACUUAAUUCAGUGCUAA
rnacentral:lncRNA from 1 species